GGAAAUUUAUUUGUGAAACAAUCAUAAGAUUACCUUGGAUGAAGAAUAGCUCAUUCUAUACCCUGGGUGAUGAAUACUGUUUAUUUUAGGACGGGAGUAUAUAUAUUAGUGACCCAGGGUGAAGAAUAAGGUAUUCUUCGAAUUUCGACCGAUAUAAAAUUCUGUUUCACUGUUGCAAAUUUACGUUUAUCAGAGCGGUUGGCGGGCAAGGAGGUACCCCACUCCCCGUACCUAUUUUUUUCUCUAAUCAGCUACUAGCGGUUCAGCAACCUGCGGGUGGGCUUGCUCAACACCGUUCCUCUCAUCCCAGAGACCCAGACCAUCCUCUCCGACGACGAUUGCGGAGGCGGCGGCAGCAAUGGCGACGGUGCUGGAGGGACGACCGGGUGGUGAGGGCCACGCCCCUCUCUCGUACGUGGAGUACUCCCCCUUUCCCUCUUCAUGUAGUAGCGACCAGGAGGCGAAUUGGACACUGCAACGAUACGGUGCGAGCUCGGGGGCGGCAACGACCUUCUCCGGCGUCCCUCUCCAUCGCCGGUGGUCUUCUUUCUGGGUUCUUGAUUUUUUUGGAACGGUGUUAAGAAAGAGAAGAAGUCCAAGAAAGAAGAUGAAUGUAAAGUGGGAGCUUGCAUACAAAGGGGUGAUGGAGUAGACCUUCGCUCGGAUGUGAGAUCAAUUCGAGGAGGGGGUUAUCAUGUAGGAGGAUCAGAAGAUGACGAGCUGAGGAACAACACUAUAGUAUCUUUGCCCUGUUUCUUGACAUUCUUUUCUAUUUUGGAUGAACUAUUCUUUCUUUCUUCUUUGGAGCUCCAUUGCUACAAAAAAAAAAAAGGAGCCAUGUGCCCAUGUCCAGCCGUUUCCA